UUGAGUCCAACCGUUGUAGUGUGAGACCUCUCAUUCGAAGAAGCAUCUAGUUUUAGUGAUAUGUAAUGGUAUUCGCGAGCUAUUUACAGGAAGUUAGUAGGAGUUCCUUCUGCAGCUGAUGGCGGAGAGUGGCAUUGAGUUUUUCGUAGAAGGUUAGCUUUUAAAUCUAUUGUGCAGCUCUUGUAUGAGUCUAACCGUUGUAGUGUGAGACCUCUCAUUCAAAGAAUUAUCUAGUCUUAGUGAUAUGUAAUGGUAUUCGCAAGCUAUUUAGAGGAAGUUAGUAGGAGCUCGUUCUACAGCUGAUGGCGGAGAGUGGCAUUGAGUUUUCCAUAGGAAAACUUAGGAUGAGAUUUAGUGUUGGGAGCCUUAUCUGUGAGGGAAAAUUAUAUGAAUUUAGAUUAACUUGGUUGAGUCAAAGCAAUUCUUGAGGAAAGUACGGAUAGAUGUGGAAGGUAGUAUGGGACCGUACUACUGGAAGCAGAGGAUCCGUACUCGAUUCAAGGAGAGUUGCGAUGAAAUCAGGGAUCUUUUAGGGUUGUGAUUCCUCGGUAUAUUUCGAUACAUAUUCUGUUGGUUUUAUGGUAUAUUUUUAGUAUGGUGGAAUUGCGAGGCAGACGAGUGGGUAGUUCAGGUGCUGAGGAGGGUUCAGGCUCAGGACAAAAGGUCGUCUUAUUCAAAACACCAAUUAUGACAUCCCCUCUCUCCCACUUCACACCUCGGAACGCGCCGUUCUUAUAGAGAUAAAGGCGUUAUGGAGCCGGGAAACUCGAUGAGCAGACGAGGGAGUUUCUCUUUUCCGAGAUUACUCGUUGCAUUCUCGAUCAGACUCCUGUGAUCUUAGGCUUGGUCAAGGAGGGUAUCUUGGAGGUCUUGGAGGAGCGAUUGAGCUCAUAUUGUUUUGAGAUGAUGACUAUAGUAGGAGCUCGAUCUUUGACAUUCAGGGAGUUACGGGCUUGUGGAGCUCCAGACUAUCACGGGGAGAAGGACCCUAUUCCGAGUAGGCGUUGGUUAGUAGAUGUUGCUAACGCUUUCCACACCAUUCGGUGUCCCAAGGGGGACAAGGUCAUCUUAGAGUCCUGCCUUUUGAAGGACAAGGCUCGGGACUGGUGGGAGAAGGUUGGUCUAGCUGUGUGUGAUGAUGAUGUUAAUGGGAUGACCUGGGAUGAUUGAGCUAACUUUGCGUCGGUUAUUGAGGUGCAUCAGCUAGCGUGGGAGUUCUAGGAUCCCUGCUAAAGUACUGAGACAGUGUCUGAGAUCACCACAAUGUUCAGGGAGAGGGCGCUUAUGGUUCUACAGUAUGUGGAAGACGAGGAGAUGAAGAAGGCCCGAUAUCAUGAGGUGUUGAGGAGUGACAUUGGGCAUUUUGUGAGCCGAUCCAUCUACAAGACGGUGGAGGAUAUGAUAGCUCGAGCCACAGAGAGGGAGAUCGUCCUCUAGAUGUAGAGGAAGAGGAAGCCAGAUGAGGUUCAGUAAGCGGGGGCUUUGGGCAAGAGGCCCAAGGUAUCGUAUUUUAGAUCAAGGGGUGAUGAGGGUGGUAGCCGAUGUGGCAUGUGUGGCAGGACGCAUAAGGGCUCAUGCAGAAGUGGUAGUGGUGUUGGUUCUGGUUGCUUCAAGUGCGGCCGGACAGGUCAUUAUAGCAUGGAUUGUACUACUACUACCACCCAAGGAUCAGAUCUGAUUUUUUUGUGAAGGAUAAGGAUGGGUCUCAUGCAUGUGUAUCGACUACCGAAAGUAGAAUAAGGUAACGGUGAAGAGCCGUUAUCCACUCCCGAUGAUUAUUGAUCUUUUCGAACAGCUUCUGGGUGCAUCUUGGUUUUCCAAGAUUGAGUUGUGAUUGGGUUAUUUUCAGAUGCGGAUCAGGGAUGAAGAUGUGUAGAAGAUAGCUGACGGGACUUGUUAUGGUCAUUAUGAGUUCGUGGUGAUGCCUUUCGGGCUCACCAAUACUCCAGCCGCAUUCAUGGAUCUCAUGAACCGCGCGUGCAGACCGAUGUUGAAUUGGUCUGUGAUAGUAUUUAUCGAUGAUAUCUUGGUUUAUUCCGAGACUCUGGAGCAACAUGAGGAUCACUUAAGGGAAGUGCUUGAGACAUUGUGGAGGGAGAGACUUUUUGCAAAGUUUCCCAAGUGCGAGUUCUGGUUGCACGAGGUGCGGUUUCUGGGGCACCUUGUUAACCAGAAGGGUAUUCUAGUUGAUUCGGCCAAAGUCGAGGUCGUGAUGUAGUGGGAGGUUCCGAGAUCUCCAUCUGAGAUUCGGAGUUUUCUUGGCGUAGCUGGUUACUAUCGGAGAUUCAUCAAGGAUUUCUCCAAGAUCGCUGUUCCAUUGACUCGACUGACCAAGAAGUCGGUGAUAUUUUGUUGGGGGCCUAAGCAGUAGGCAACUUUUGUUAGACCCCUAAACCGGAAUGGCGGAAAAGUUCGGGGAUGGAGAACGUCAUGCGUAGUAUCACAACAAUUGUAUCAUAGCAAUCAUAGUAAACACAACCAUUACAUUGAAUACAUAUAUGAAAAAGGUUUACAUCUCUUUAAUGCUUGUUUUUGUACAUCAAAAGUAUAAUCAAAAUAAAAAGACGGGCCUCUAUACGCUCCGUCUUCCCAAAACUCCAAAAUGUACCUAUCUACUGAUUUCCUGAGAAUACAAGCAGUUUUGAAAGAGUAUCAGCAUAAAGCUCAUGAUUUCAUAAGCGAUGUUUUCGUAAUGAAAACCUAUUAAUGACUCUUUAAAAAUGUUCACAUGUUUUCCAAGAAAAUCCAAUAUUUUCAUUAGUAAAAGUAUGGUAAUAACAGUUCCUUCUAUAACCACUUAGUUCAUGCUAGUCAUGUAUAAACCAAUAUCGAACAGACAGUUGGUUAUAUGGAUCUGCCCUAAGCCCACAACCAAACAAGGAACAUGAAAUAAGUCGGAAACCACAUAUCCCACAAUCUAUCGAGUAUUCUUCAUACGUAACCCUGAUGCAUAAACUAAAGAGUUAUAGAACUAACUAUGAAUUUUUGUUAUUAUAUCCGGUUGUAGUAUAUAAAACAUAUUAGUUUGUAUGCUUGAUUACUACUAGAUGUAUUGUAUGAUGAAUUCUGUAUGAAAACCUCUGUGUGGAAUGUUCUGUUUGAAAACCCUGACUACCACCAGUAUGUAUAGUAGUUUUCUUAUUUAAAUAAAGCCGUGUAUGGUAUUUCUAAAAUCCCCAAAUGUAAUGUAUAAUAGUUAUAUUAAUUAAAAUAAAACUAAUGAAGAAUGAAUUCUCAUAAACAAAGGUUGGUUUAUACUUAUUGUGAGUCGUAUAACCAUGUUUGAUAUGACCUAGUGACCUUUACGACGUUCUUCAAGUGUCGGUAAAAUGACAUUUGUCACCUCAGGCGUGCCUGCCUAAACUGUAGCUAGCAGUUUAGGUGUGGGAUUGUCGAUCCCAAAUAGAUUUAUUAACAAAUCUCACGCUCUCCCUCCAGGAGACUCUGUUUAUACUAUGAUAGGAUUUAAUUCAGUACACCUAAGGGUACGGUUUUGAAGUAGAGCCUCACAAUUCUGUAUAAUCUAGUUUACAUGUAAUUAUGUAUUGUUCUCUUGUAUUUGAAUCCCUUGGAUACUGUAUAAGGUAAUAAUUAUACUUAAAUAAUUAUGAAUUGUUAUACUCUUGUAGUAAUGUAUAUCAUAAACUAAAUCUGUCAUAGUUUAUAUGUUUAGCAGUGCAUAACUCUGAAUUCGUAAAAGUUGUGUAUUGAAAACCCCAAACUAUACCUAUUAUAGUUUACUUGAAAUGUUAUGUCCUUGUUAUGUAUAAUGUUCCGAAAACUAUGCAGUUAUGUUUCUAAGUGGAAAGUGUCUCUUAUGCUCCACAUAAUACAAAAGGGAUAAAAUAUCUAAAUAUUUUGUAAAAUGUGGAAAUCGUUUGACUGUAUAAAUUGCAUAAGUUUUAAGUUUGUUAAAAUCCUUUGUUUUGUUCCAAAAAAAUCAUUUUCGUUUGGCUUGUAUUCCCCCUGAAAACAUUAAAAAUGAUAAAAGCAUAGGGGUAUGAACUCACUGUUGUUGUAUGAAAACGUCGACUGGAAAUGAAGAUCCUCGGGUUGUUGUACGUGGCACUUAACGGCAUCCUAAUAUCAAUAAAUACAUAUAUGCAUCUAAAUUAGCGAUUUCGUUAGGUUAAGUGUUAGAAAAACACUUGUUUUCAGUUAAGGAAUAUUAUCGGGACUUGAUUGAAUCCAGAAAACGAGUUUUUCACAGCUUAAUAGGUGUGUACGGCCGUGAACAGGGGUGUACGGCCGGACAGGCAGUGUACGGCCGUAAACACGGUGUACGGUCGAGAACUCUUCUUUGAGGGGUGUACAACCGUAUACUCAAGAACAAGGGUGUUUGAUUGCGAAGAAAAUGUGUUCCAGAUGCUCCCAAUCGAUUCCAAAUGACGAUUUUUGAUGUUUUUCGGAAGAAAAGAGGUGUCUUUAGAGUGUACGGUCAGAAGUUCUAAAGAGAGAAUGAGAGAGUUUUCAGACAAAAGUUUUCAAAUGAGGAUGGGGGUCCUGUAUUUAUAGGUUGGGGGUAUGGUCGAUGGUGGGGUCCACCUGGCACCAACCAUGAACGGGUGUGCGGCCGUACACAUGUGUGUAGCCAUACACUCACUUAGGCCAAAAACUGUUUUAUUUUUCAAGGAGUUUGGGUUUUCGCGUGAUUUGUUUCCGAAUCGCUUAUAUAAAUUUAAUUAUAUAAAACUAGAUGAUUUCCUAAACCAUGAAUUUUUGACGGAAACUUAAUAAUAAUCAAAUUUUAUUAACGGAAUUAGGAUAAUGGAAACGGAAAAAGGUUCGGGUUGUCACAAUCUUCGUCCUGGUUAUUGGUGGCCCUGCAUGAAGCGGGAUGUAGCAUCGUAUGUGGAGCGGUGCUUGACUUUCAGAAAGGUCAAGGCCGAGCAUCAGCGACCUCACAUUAAGAUGCAUCCGUUGUAGAUUCCCAUAUGGAAAUGGGAAGACAUCACUAUGGAUUUUAUCAUGAAGCUUCCCAGGACUGAGCGCGGAGUGGAUUCGAUAUGGAUCAUUGUGGAUCGAUUGACAAAGAGCUCACAUUUCAUUCAAAUUCAGGAGAGUAUUUUUGCAGAAAAUUUGGCUGAACUUUUUAUCAGGGAGGUAGUGGCACAUCAUGGGGUGCUGGUAUCGGUAGUUCCAGACAUGGAUGUUCAUUUUACUUCCAGAUUUUGGAAGCAGUUUAACGAUGAGUUGGGCACUCGUCUCCUUUUUAGUACAUCAUUUCAUCCGCAAAUCGAUGAUCAGAGUGAGCGGAAUAUUCAGACUCUUGAGGAUAUGUUGCAUGCUUGUGUGUUGGAUUUUGGUGGGAGUUGGGAUACGUAUCUUCCGUUAGCGGAAUUUUCGUAUAACAACAAUUAUCAUUUAUCAAACUCCUUUUUAGAUGCUCUAUGGGAGGAACUGCAGGACCCCGAUUUGUUGGGGUGACGUAGGUUAGCGAGUUAUGAGGAGUACUGAGGUGGUACUCAAGACCACUGAGCUUAUUCAGUAGGUUCGGAGCAGGCUCGAGACAACUCAGAGUCAGCAGAAGAGCUAUGUCGAUAGGUGCUGGUCAGACUUGGAGUUCCAGGUAAGAGAUAUGGUUCACCUGAAGGUGUCACCUUGGAAAGGUGUCAUUUUGUUCAGGAAGCGGGGCAAGUUGGCUCCCAGGUAUAUUGGUCCAUUCAUGGUUUUGGCUCGGGUGGGCCGGGUUACGUAUCAUCUUGAUCUUCUAGCCGAUCUCAGUAAGAUUCAUAGCACGUUUCAUGUCUCUCAGCAGCGUAAGUGUUUGGUAGAUGAUUCUGCAGUUGUACCAUUGGAGGAUAUUCAGGUGGAUGCCCGCCUGAAUUAUAUUGAGAGACCAGUGACGAUUUUGGAUCGCAAGACGAAAACCUUGAUUAACAAGGUUGUAGAGCUAGUGAAGGUGUAGUGGCAACACCACAAGGGGUCGUAAUGGAAUUGGGAGCUCGAGGAGGAGAAGAGAUACAUUAUCCAGAGUUGUUCAGGGCAACGGAAUUCAAGGACGAAGUCUGAUUCAAGUGGGGGAGAAUUGUAACACUUGAAUCUCGGUGAGUUUCUCUUUUUCCCUUGCAUUAUUUAAUUAGUCCCAUUUUGACCUUUGAGUUGUACGCAGGGCGUACAACUAGGUACGCUUAGCGUACAGGCAGUAAAGCGAGUACGUGGAGUGUACCAAGUGGUACGCUUAGUGUACUCAUGCGAGAGUAUUGAUCGGGGAUCCGGAGGCAUACAUUGGGCAUACACAAGCGUACAUGGGUUGUACGUAAAGACUUUGAAAACCCUAAUUUUUUGGGGUUGGCCACUAUUUAAUCAUCCUUAUGGACUUGAAACCCUCAUUUUAUCAGCCUCCUUGUCCUCCUUACCCUACACUCGAACCCUAAUUCCAUACUUGUGUGUUUUUGAGCUUAGAAGGCCAUUUUGAGGUGCAUUUUGGUGCUUUGAAGGAAGGUGGUCAUCAUUGAAGCUUCAUUAGAGGAUUGAAGGUUUAUAGAUCCAUAACCCUAUCCUUAUUUGGCACUCAUUUGAGGUAUAAUGUCUUGAAGUCGAUGCUUAUUAGCUUAGAUCUCUUUUGGUUUGGGUUUAUGGACCCUUUUGGCCCCAUUAAUGAAAUCUUAUGAGUUCAUAUCAUUUCUGAAUCUUAGAGUUGCCACUCUUGGUAUUAUUUUGGUCCUUGAGUCAUAAAUUUGCCAUUUUUGAGGCUUAGAUCUAUCCAUGCACGAGUUAGGGCCAUUUACAUGAAAGUAUAUUUUGAGUUUGGAAUUAUUUUGGGCAUGCAAAGUCACCAAGUCGGUGACUUUAUAGGUCUAGACAUUAAUUAGGACUCAGAUCUAUGAUUUGGACCUUUGGGCUAAGCAUUAAGUGCUUAAUGGUAAAAUUUGGCUUAAUAGAGUAGUACGAUGGGCUUACAAGUCUGUAUGCACAGCGUACAAGCUAUCAAGCUUGUGCACGCAACGUACAGCUAGGUACGCCCCACGUACUCAGUUAGAAUGGGCUUCACAUCUUUGGGCCUCCGCUUGGGCCAUUUCAUGUGUUAGGGUCAGUAUAGUGUUGCGUCUAUUGGGCUCGUUAGCUAGUCCAUGUUUAUCUCUGAUAUGGGCCUGUCCAUCCAUGAGUUUUGUAGGGUUUAAUAUAAAUAGAUGCUUGCAUGCAUUCUAGAAUAAGAGGAUUAGUAUUGAUUAGAAAAUUAUUGUGCAGCAAUAUCAUCGUUCUUAUUUUGUAACCCUAGAAUCCUCUACAGUGGAAGUUCUUAGUCGACCUCUGCUGAGGAUCGAGUAAUCUAAUCAUUCGACACAUUUUGAUUCAUACUUGUGUUUUGUUUACUGUUUUACGUUCAUCACCUUCCUAUUACAAAGAUCUAAUCGAUCAAAGAGUUAAUUCAUAACUCAUCAAUUGGUAUCAGAGCAGGAGGCUGUGUAAUUCAUACACAUCUUUUCUGUGAAAGGGUUUGCGAUUAGGGUUAUUCCACAUUAACUAAUACUUAUUGAGCCGUCAUUCCAUUAUUGACGUAACUCAGCAUUUAUUUGUUUUGCCCGAAUAUCAAAUAUUACAAGUCUGAUCUUUCAAACAGGUUAAAAUGAUCAAGCAUGGACGAGUCACAAUCUAAUCCCAUCAACAUCUCUAAUAGCAUUGGAUCGACGACGAAGAUUCCUAUUCUUUACACCCAGGAUUACGAAGUCUGGGCACAUCACUUUGAAGAUUAUGUAAUCGGAUCGGGAAGCAAUCGUUUCUGGACCAUUUGCUUACUCUGGAACGUCAAAAAUUAUUAAAACUCAGAAAGAGUACAAUGAUCUGUUAAAGGACGUAAAGGAUGUUGCUCAAGACGAAAAGGAAAAGUUUCAAUGCAACAUUAAAGCAUUGAGACUGAUUCGAUUCGCUCUGCAAUCAGAUACAUUCAGGCUAGUGAGUUCAUGCAGCACCGCUAAAGAAAUCUGGGAUAGGCUGCGAGAGCUAUACUCCACUGAUGAGGAUUUGGAGCAUUCUAUUCAGACCUUGCUUUUGUCUGAGUUUGGUGAAUUUAAGCAGAAUUCUGAUGAAACUGUUACUCAGACGUUCGAUCGCUUCAAUCAUCUUCUUAGCAAGAUGAUCAAACACGAUAUAGAAAGGAAGCUGAUUGAACAAAAAGUAACCUUUUUGAAUGGCCUUAGAUCCGAGUGGAGAGCGGUUGUGUCCACUGUUAAAGCUCAUGAGCAAUUUAAAUCUUAUUCGUUGGCAAAGCUGGUGGGGAUUCUGAAAUCCCAAGAAAAGAUUGUCUUGCAAGAGAAAAAUGUGGUCUCCAGUUUAGGGUCCUUGGCCCUCUUGUCCAAAAGCAAAAGUGUGGUAGAAGAUGAAGAUCUCAACUUAGAAGAUUAUGAUCUUACUUCUGAAGACUAUGCAAUGAUGGUGUCGAAUCCAAAGAGGUUCAUUAAGAAAAGGUUCCCUACCAAUAAGAACCGAAAUUGGCAGGGAAGCUACAGUUCUGAAAAGGUUAGGGAGGAACCGAAGACAGAGGAACCAAAGAAAGAGGCGAAAGUUGAAGGAGAUUCAGGUGUGAACUGCUACUACUGUGGAGGAAAGAACCACUAUGCCAAAGACUGCGUUCUAAAGAAAAUGGCAGAGAAGGAUGAGGAAAAAGAUGAAGAGGCCUUGUUGAUGAAAAAGCUGGAAGAGAUCAAGAGAAAGAAAGCUACUGCUAACCCUUCAAUGAAUGCUUUAAUUGUGCAGGGUUCGGCAGCGGAUGAUGAGUUCGGUGGCGUGCAGGUCUGGUCAACCGACUCAGAGGAUGAUGAGGUCAGGAAGCCAUCUCAUGGAAAGGCAUACGUUACAAGAGGUGAAGAAAGCGGUGGGAAGUGUUUGAUGGUGACAAAUGUAUCUCAAAUGAAGGGAUACAAUACAGAUGGUGGGAAUGAAGACACUAAGGAGCAAGAGGACCUAUGCUUCACAGCAAAACCUCUCAGGGUGCAGAUCAAUGAGCUUGAUGAAUUGAUCAAGAAGGUACAAUCUGUUUUUGUUUCAUUCAAAGUCCCACAAAAUUCGUAUGAAAAAGAAUUAAAAAGCUUAAAUUCAUGAAUCUCAAAUCAAGAUAGUAGUUUAACUCAAACACGGGUCACCAAUUCUAACUUAACUGACCAAAUAAGCAGGGUGUCAUCCAAGAGUGAGGAACGGAGGAUGUGGAUAGAGCUGAAGGAGUCGGAGCUGAUUAAAUCCAAAGAUGAAAACAUUUAUUUGCAAAGAGACAAUUUAAAACUUUUGAAACAANAAACAGAGAAAUGUUUUUUGUUUAAUUGCUAAACGUCUUUAUGCUAACAUCACUCAACUUCAUCUUAACUGUGAAAUAGGGCAGAAAAUUCAUCGCAUGAUUUUUCCCUUCCUUGAGUUUAAGGAGGAUGAAAUCGAUGCUGAAGCAUAUAAUUGCGAAAGUGUAGUUUCGUCUGAUGAUGUGAAUCCGACUUAUAUGUAUGGUCUGGACAAAAUCGAAUCUUUUAUAAAGUCCAAGGACCAUAAGGACAUGCUGAAAAACCUUUUGGAUGAAAACGAUAAACUGAAACUAAGGACCGAAACCAUACAAAAGUUUGACUCAUUGAAUGCCAACUUGAGCUCAGAAAAUAAAAUUGAUGUUGAAAACGCGUCUGAGCUCAAUGAGGAUGAUGAUAUGAGUGAAAUUUCUGUAGAGGAUGAAGUCGACUGUUCUGAGUUUGUCAAGAGCGAACCCGAAAACCACAAAAAUCUUAUUUCUGAAAAUUCUGUGGAGUUUGCUCGUUUGUCCCAAAAUAAGUCCCCGAUUCUUGAAGAAAAGGCCGUUGUGUACCAAAAGGUGAGAACAACACCAAAUCAGGUGUAUAAGGUCACAGGAGUAACCGAACAUCAGACAGCCGAACUCACCGCCAUAGUAAACGAAGAUAAUGCAGAUGGCUGUGAUGAGUUUUUCUGGUCUGCUCCUAUAGAUAAUGCUGACGAAACCGUUGGUCUGUCAGAGCGAACGUCCUGGAAAACCAAAGGCAGAUAUGUGCCAGAGCCACUAAACAAGCCUGACAACUUCGAUGUGCCAAGUACUAGUGGUACAAAAGAAGUUCCUGUAGAAGAAGUCACUCCUACAAGCGAAACAUCAUCUGUUAAAAGUGAACCGGCUGACAGGAAGCAAAAGCAAAAAGCCAACAUCCACCGACAGCCAAAGCAAGUGAAGGAUCAAAAGCAGCAAAGGAAUCUGAGAUACAAAAAGAAUCUCUCAGAGCGAAAACAGUUUUGGCGAUCUCAAAACGCCCAUUUCUCUUAUCAUGACAAAAAUUCAAAGUCAGAGAAAAGUGCUGUCAGGCCGCAAGAAAGUAAUAACAACCGAAAGGACAGGUUCGGUUCUGAAAGGAAUAACAACCGAAGGGAAAGGUUCGGUUCAGAGAACACCAGCUACCGAAAGCAUAGGUUCGGUUCCGAGAGCAAAAGCUAUCAAGGUUCAAGGUUCGGUCCCACUAAUGACCAAAAACAAAAGGGUCACUUAGAACCUCAAGUCAAGAAAACUUCUCAGUCUAAAUUCUCUCGUUCUAAUUCUUCUCAACCCCAUUCUAAAUCCAAUUCUGUUCAAACUCAAAAUCCAAAAUCUUCAACAGAUUUGAAAGGAAAAUCGAAGGUUUCCUCAGUCAAGAAUGAUCAAAAGCAUUCCAAGGCCCAAACGCCUGAACCUGAAUCCAAACCGACUGUAACAAAUCCUAACAAAAUUAAAGUUUUCACUAUUAAGAAGAAAGAUGAAACAACUUUAAUAAAAAGAACAUAUCUUGUUGACAUUUCUCUUACUAUUCCUGUUCCUGUGAAAGGCUCACGUGGACCCAAGAAACUUUGGGUUCCUAAAUCUGCUUGAUUUUUGCAGGUUAUCAGUGACGAGCAGUUCGACGAAGAAUGGUAUAUUGACAGUGGCUGCUCACGUCACAUGACAGGAAGGAAGGAAGAGCUGAGGGAAUUUCGAUCUCUUCCAAACGGCGGGAAUGUCAAGUUCGGGAACAACUCAUAUGGCACGAUAAAAGGUUAUGGGAUGAUAACAAAUGGAGACUUCACGAUUAGAAAGGUUGCAUACGUUGAAGGACUACAGCAUAACCUCAUCAGUGUAUCUCAGCUUGUUGGAGGUACCGGUCUUAAAGUUUCAUUUGACGAUGAGGGUUCGGAAAUAAUAGAGAAGAAAACAAAAAGAGUGAUUCUCAAAUCAGAGCGCAAAGGCGAAAUGUUUCCUCUCAAUCUCAAACCUAUCAAAGGAAAUCCAGCUAUCUGUCUGUUAUCCAAAGCACAUUCUGACGAAAGCUGGCUGUGGCACCGAAGGCUCUCCCAUCUCAAUUUCAAGGAUAUCAACAAACUUGUCACAGGAGGUCAUGUUCGGGGUCUUCCAUUGCUCAAGUUUGAUCGAGAACAUUUGUGUGCUGCAUGUGAAAUGGGGAAGCAGAGUCGUCAAAGUCACCCAUCCAUAAUAAACACUAAAGUCGUUGAACCACUUGAGUUAAUUCACAUUGACUUAUGUGGUCCAUCUUCUAUCGAAAGCAUUGGCGGUAGCAAGUAUAUUCUUGUUAUUGUUGAUGACUUUUCACGUUUUACAUGGGUGUUCUUUCUGAAGCACAAAUCUGAGGCAACUCUCAAGCUAAAGAUGUUUAUCAAGCAGGUUGAAGUGCAGCUGAGGAAAGUCGUUCGCAACAUCAGAAGCGACAAUGGGCUGGAGUUCAAGAAUAAAGAAUUUGAAGACUUUUUAGCAGAAAAAGGAACCAGUCACAACUUCUCAGCUCCCUACACCCCUCAACAAAAUGGGAUUGUCGAAAGACGAAACCGAUCUUUGUGUGAGGCGGCCCGAACCAUGCUAAGUUUCGCUUCUCUACCUCUAUAUUUCUGGGCUGAUGCUAUUGCUGCAGCAUGUUUUACGCAGAACAGGUCCUAUCUCAAUAAGCGUUUCACUCUUACUCCUUAUGAGAUCAUCAACAACAGAAAGCCAAACGUCAAAUUCUUCCACGUAUUCGGCUCACGAUGCUUUAUCUUCAAUUCUAAAGAACAUCGUAACAAGUUCGACGUAAAAGCCGAUGAAGGGAUUUUUCUGGGAUAUUCUCUCACUUCGAAAGCAUACAGGGUUUUAAACAAGCAUUCGAGGAAGAUUGAAGAAACGUAUUAUGUGACUUUCGAUGACAGCUAUGUCAAGAAGCUGAAGGCCACGGAAGAAUCAGUUGGAGAAAUCUUCUCUCAAACAGGCCAAGUCACAGCCUCGAUUGCAAAUUUGUUUGAGCAAUUUGUGGAGUUAUUUGAUGAACCGGAGAAGGCUACUCUCUCAGAAGCCAAUGCAGCAGACAACAAAGUUGACCAUUUGAAGCAAAUUGUCGAUGACGCUGCCAAACGACUGGGUGAAGGAGAAUCAGUUCCAAAUGAACCUUCUCAGCACGGUGCUUCAGUUGAGGGGGAGAAUCCAUCUUCUUCAAAACAGCCAAGUUCACAAGUUGAGGGGGAGAACUCUUCUCCAGCUGCACCCGAAAGCUCUACUGCACCCGAAGGUACUGUAGCUCCCGAAAUCUCAAUGCACCCGAAACUCAUGUAGCACCGGAAGGUCAAGACACACCUGAAAGCUCAUCAGUCAAGGGGGAGAAUGCCGAUAUGUUUUAUGACGAUGACAGUUAAUCUGAAUUAGAAGAGAUGGUAAAUGCUGAAUUGGAUCCAUCCUAUGAUCCAAAUUACCCUCCUCUUGUCAAAUGGACUAGAGAUCAUCCUGUUUCACAGGUUGUGGGUAAUGUCUCUGAAAAGGUCUUGACCCGAUCUCAACUGAAGGCAAAACAAACUUCUUUAUUCUCAAAAGUAGAGUUCUGCAUGUUUAACUCUUUCGUCUCAAAAGUUGAACCUAAGACAGUAACACUGCUCUUGAUCAUUCUGAUUGGGUUCAAGCUAUGCAAGACGAACUUAAUGAGUUCGAAAGAAAUAAGGUUUCACACCUCAUUCCAACUCCUAAAGAUACCUCGAUUGUUGGUCUCAAAUGGGUCUUCAGAAAUAAAAUGGACAAGGAAGGCAAUGUAAUAAGAAACAAAGCUCGUCUAGUGGUGAAAGGAUACUGCCAGGAGGAAGGAAUCGAUUAUGAGGAAACUUUUGCUCCUGUAGCUAGGCUGGAAUCUGUUCGAAUAUUUCUUGCCUAUGCUGCACACAAGAACUUUGAGGUCUACCAAAUGGACGUAAAGUGCGCAUUUCUAAAUGGAGAACUUGAAGAAACGGUGUACGUGGAGCAACCUCCGGGAUUCGUCAAUGAAAAGUACCCCAAUCACUGCUAUAUUCUGGACAAAGCGGUUUAUGGGCUGAAACAAGCACCUAGGGCCUGGUAUGAAACGCUAACCAAGUUUUUAAAGAUGUCCAAAUUCAAACAAGGUUCGGUUGACCCAACCUUCUUUCGUAAGAAGGAAGGUAACCACCUUAUGAUUGUUCAAAUCUAUGUCGAUGAUAUCAUCUUUGGCUCAACGAAUCCUAGCUUAACAGCUGAAUUCAGAAAGCUGAUGGAGACUAAAUUUGAAAUGAGCUCAAUGGGUCCGAUUAACUUUUUCCUUGGUUUAAAUAUUAGACAGGGACCCGAAGGCAUCUUUAUUAACCAGGAAGCCUACACCAAGACUCUCCUUGCUAAAUUCGGCAUGAUGGGAGACUCAAAGGUUAAAGUUCCAAUGGCGUUCGGCACCAAGCUCACUCCAUCCUUGGAUAAGCCAGCAGUCGAUAUUACGCUAUAUCGCCAGAUGAUCGGUUCUUUAAUGUACCUUACUGCUAGCAGGCCUGAUAUAAUGUUUUCUGUUUGUUACUGUGCUAGAUUUCAGGCGAAUCCUCGUGAACCUCAUAUGCUUGCAGUGAAGAACAUACUCCGGUAUCUAAAACGAACUACCUCUCUCGGCUUAUGGUAUCCAUCAAACUCAGGUUUCUUCGUUCAAGCCUACUCAGAUGCAGACCUUGGAGGUUGUGGACUAGACAGGAAAAGCACCACUGGAGGCUGCCAAUUCCUUGACGGGAAGUUGGUUAGCUGGCAAUCAAAGAAACAGACUUGUGUAUCUCUGUCUACAGCUGAAGCAGAAUACAUCGCAGCUGCCUCCUGUACAUCUCAAGUGAUUUGGAUCCAAAGCCAGCUCCGGGACUAUGGACUCAAUANUAACCCAGUGCAACACUCCAAGACCAAGCACAUAGCACUGAGGUAUCACUUCAUUAAGGAUCAUGUGGAAGAUGGGAACGUCGAAAUUCAUUUUGUUCGAACCACUGAUCAACUGGCUGACAUCUUCACCAAAGCUCUUCCUGAAGCUUCUUUCAACAAAAUUCUACAAGGGCUAGGAAUGAUGGAAUCGGAGUCAGUACCAAAAAUUACCUCUCAAGAUCAAAAGUAAGAAGCGAAAUAGACCGAACGUUCGGGUUCGGGUCUCUUGUAUGCCGAAAUGGACCGAACGCUCAGGUUCGGGUCUUGCUCUGGUGUACUGAAAUAGACCGAACGCUCGGGUUCGGUUGUAUCAUCUGAUCUUCGCUUAUCACUCAAAGGUAGUUUCCUUGGUUGUAAAUCUUUUGUAUUAUUUUUCCAAAUUCAUUUAUCUUAUUGUCAAAGUUCUUUUCUUUUUCAAUCUUAUUUUUUUGGCAACCGAAAUAGACCGAACGUUCGGGUUCGGUUCCAAAAUUUUUCUCACCCGAAAUAGACCGAACGCUCGGGUUCGGUUCCAAAAUUUUCUCAACCGAAAUAGACCGAACGCUCGGGUUCGGUUCCAACUUUUUUUUUAUUCAUUUUUUUUUAUUUAUUUCGAUCAAAAAAUUCCAAAAAUAUUUUUUUUCUUUUUUUGUAAAUUCAAAAACUCCAAAAAUAUUUUUUACUUUUUUAAUUUUCGCUUUUAUCUUUUUGUAUGUCUUUUUGUGGGUAAAUUAUUUCACUAGAUAAGUGUCCGUAGAAGCAUGCUGCUGUAUGUGUCCAAAGCCUCAUCUAAUUCUGAAUAAAAGUCUUACUGACUUGGUACAAACAAACCUUGUCUUCCCAAUUAGGCUCUCACAUUUAUUCUAAUUAUGAGCUACCUAAUGCUCUUCUCACAUGAGAUAAGAGUUUUCUGCUUAGUCCCUAUUUUUCAUAGCAGAGGUACUUUGGGUUUCUUUACACCAUCUACAUUACUAUUCUCCAUCUCAUUCACUUCACAAACGUAACCCUUGAGACGCUCAGACAUUACCACUGAGGUUUAUGGUUACACAAUUUCUGUGUUCAUGAUCUUAGCUUCGUGUCACUACGUGCUAAGUGAAACCCACAAUUCAAUACCUACUAUGCAUUGACGGUGAACAAUUAAUUCGCUCUAGCUUUCACUAAUGAAUUGACGGACUUAUCCAUGGGGGUACCACAUGAAAUCUCUAUUUUUCUUUUGAAUGAUUCCUAUGAAAUUGUUAAAUCCAAUAACAUUUCUUCCCUUGGGAUCCAAUUUUAAAUUUUUUUUUGUUGAUUUCACAUAUCUUAGUUUACCUUGCUACUUAAAAGAUCUCCAACCCCUGAAGUUCACUUCUCUACUUCUCCUAUCUCCACUCCACCAGUUACCAUUCCUAUUUCUAUUCCCCCCAUUUCCUCCACCACUCAAAUACCACCUACCUCCAUCCCAGUACCACCACCUAUAUUUACCGAAGCAACCACCACCACCACUGCAGAUGUUAGAACCAACGUAUCUGAUACGGGGGUUCAUACUAACGCACCAAAGUCCACUUCAGUACCCGAACCCACACCAACAACCGAACACACCACCCAACCCGAAACUACUACUAUUACUGAGCCUCCAGGUUACCACCACCAUCUUCUCCUGCUCAUGCAUCAGAGGAUGAAGAACCACUCCUUGGCGGGGAGGACAUGACCUUUGACUCGCUCUAUUACAGUCCAUUUCAAGUUCAGAGUGACGAUGAUGACGAUGCUCCUAUCACAAAGAGGCAUCUCAAGGAGCUACAUGACAAAAUCGAUUCGCUCAUCGCCUCAUCUUCCACAUCUUAGUCCUCCAUUUCUGAAGCUGCCAUUCAGAAAAUUGUUGAGGCUUUCUCCAAAGCUCAUCAAGUUUCUAUCGAUUCCGCCACUGCAGCUAUAGACGCCUCAACCAAAGCUUGUGAGGCAGCGACCGAAAAAGUCGAUAAACUAUUCACUAAUGCUUCUUUCUUGUUGAAAUCUUUACAGGAAAGUGCUGAAGCCACCAAGACUACGCUGGAACCCAUUAUCAACCAGUUGGCUACAUCAGUCGCUUCUGAGCUGAAGUCGUUCGCUUCGCUUCGUCAAACCAUCUCUGACGACAACUCAACUUUCAGAACCACCAUUGAGGAGCGUCUCUCCAAGCUUCAAGAAGACUUAGCUGCCGAGAACUCUCUCAUGGAUGCUCUCGCAAGGAAGACUACCGCUCUGAAGGUCAAGAGUACUCAACUCUCCAACUCUCAACAGGAGAUUGACUCUCUUCGAUCUGAAAGAGAGGUGGUUAAAUCGUGUGUUUCGGAUGUCCACUCAGCUAUCUCAAACAUCCUUGAAGCACAUGACCCGAUCCUCAAUUAUUCUGUGAGGCGUGACCUUGCAGAGAAGCUUGCUCCCGCCCUCUCUCUACUGAGCAAACUUGAAGGGCUCCUUGAUUUCGUGUCCAUUUUGAAACAAAGGGGAGAAAAAGUGAAUAUGUCUCAACCUCCUCCUACUUCAACUGCAACCGAACCUCCUCCAGUAGGCCAAGCCUCCGGUUCCGGUGUAAAAGACAAGGGCAAGAAGAUUGCUGAGGAGAGCGAUGAAGAUGAUAAGGAGACAAUUGCUGACCUUCUGAAACGACAAGGUCGAGAUAAAGAGGCUGACAUCAGUGCUCGUGUGGCUAGAGAGGCUGAAGAAGCCGAAAGAAGACAGAAAGAAGCCCACGACCUUCUCGAGAGCAGGAAAACUCUUUUUCCUCCUUGGACUCUUGAGAAGCUGAUUAAAGAAGCCAUCGAAACACCAAGUAUCUUGUGGCUAGAACCUGUGAUCUCUUUAGAUUGUUCUAACACUGUCGACUCUCAGUUCGAUAUGCCACUGACCCGAAAGGCGUUUGUUUUUCAUGCCUUUGACAACAUUGCUGAGUUCCCCCAUCCUCAUCCACAGGUUGAUCGGGACUUAGUCGAAUUUUAUCUGAGGGCAGCUCAACCACAAUACCAAACUUGGAGCGCUCAGAAAAUCAUCAAUGUUCGGGUCCUAAAGCCGUUCAGGGAAGGCAACUUCACCAACGUUCGGUUCAAGGUACUACGGGGAUCUGCCAAGGCCGAACAUGCCAUCUCACUUGCAGAUCUUCCCAACCUUAAUCCCCAUGACUGGAUUAUCUUGCACAACAUCCUUCUUACAAACGAAGCUGAAUAUGGUCCGAUCAUCGACCACUUUAAGAGGAUGCUUGUAUGCUAUGUCAUGGAAGUUGCUCUGAUGGAUCAGGAGAUAGUGAGCGUAUUCAAGAAGAAGCCCACCAUAUCUCCUGUUGGCUCUUCCAGUGAUCUCAACAUGAUGCAGAUGGGGAAGAUUGACCCAAAGAGAAACUCCGUCAUGUUCACUAGGAACGAAGGACAGAAAUGUCUUUUCGCCUUGGCAGACAAACAUCUCUACACCACUUCCUAUUUGGAACACGUUUUAGGGAUCAUCCAUCGAUGCAAGCAAAACACAGCGGAUGAUAUCAAGUACUUUGAUGAUAUGAUUCAAUGGUACAUUCGCUUCAGACAGACUAUCCUUGCACUUAUCUCACGUCUGUUUGAUACAACAAAGAAGGUUCCUGCUACUGGCCCAAGCAAGAAGAAACNAAUUGACGCAAAGGGGGAGAUUGUUAGGGUCAGUAUAGUGUUGCGUCUAUUGGGCUCGUUAGCUAAUCCAUGUUUAUCUCCAGUAUGGGCCUGUCCAUCCGUGAGUUUUGUAGGGUUUAAUAUAAAUAGAUGCUUGCAUGCAUUCUAGAAUAAGAGGAUUAGUAUUGAUUAGAAAAGUAUUGUUCAGCAAUAUCAUCGUUCUUAUUUUGUAACCCUAGAAUCCUCUACAGUGGAAGUUCUUAGUCGAGCUCUGCUGAGGAUCGAGUAAUCUAAUCAUUCGACACAUUUUGAUUCAUACUUGUGUUUUGUUUACUGUUUUACGUUCAUCACCUACCUGUUACAAAGAUCUAAUCGAUCAAACAGUUAAUUCAUAACUCAUCAUCAUGGACGUAAUUUCUUUGGGCCUUAAUGGGCCAUCUGAAAGCAGACUUUUGGACUAAGGAAAUUAUUGGGCUUUAAGGUAAGGCCCAUUGAAGGGGUUUGGGUCUAAUUUGAAAAAUUGGGCCAUAAGUGGGCCUUAGAAGAUUAGUUAGUGUUGGGCCUUUUUAUGUUGUGGAUUUGGGCCUUAGUCAUGGAUCAAAUUAGGCCAAGGGUAAAAUGGUCAUUUUACCCCAAGUAUGGAGUAUUAAAUUUUGAUUGGAACCCAAGUAUUGAUUGGGUGUUAUUUUUAUAUUGAUAGCUCGGGGGAGUUGUCAGGGCAACCGCUAGGGAUUUCUUUCUGUGAGAUUCAGCAUUUGAGGUGAGUUUCCUCACUGGGUUUAGCGGGUCUAAGGCACCAAUGUCGGCCCUUAUUGAUUAUUUUAGGAUGUUACGAGUCUACAUGACUCUUGUAUGUAUUAUGUGCUGUUAUGCGUAGUGGGAGGGCUCGAUGUCAGGUGAGGGUUGAGGACUGGAACAUAUUCUAAUGUUUAUGACUGCUUUAUGUGUUAGCAUGAUUAUGUGAUAUUGAUUGUAUGUGUAUAGCGGGCGAGGCCCAGUAACAAGCGAGGCCUGAGAAUAACAAAUCUGUAUACCGAGCGACGCUCGAUGCCGGGCAGUGCGUGAUGUUGGGCGAGGCCCGAUGUUUGGCGGGGGCCCGAUAUGUGAUUUAUUAUGUAUGGUAUGGGGUAGAAGAGCUCGGGUUGUGCUUACGGUUUUUAUUUUAUGUUUCAGAUACUUUUCGUUGCAAAUAGAAGACCUCGGGUUGACUGCUUCACACACACCAUUGGGAUUCCGCAUAUGAUAUUUUACUCUGAUUUUAUGACAUUUGAUACGUUGGUUUUGUUUGAGAUGUAUGGUUGAUAUUUGAAAAUACUAGUUUACCUAUUUUAAAAAUGAAAUUUUUGGGACCAUAUUUUGGGAUGUUACAAAUUAAAAAAGGAAAAAGAAAAUCAACUUCUUUUGCUGACUUUAGAGUAUGCAAAAUUGACAUUUCAAUCCAAUUACUUAUUACAUAUAUAAUCAAAACUAUAAAUAAUCUUUAUUCAUGCUUUAAAAACCAAAUAUCCACUACUAGAAAAAUAGCCUUUUACGACGCGCAAACCAUGACACUCAUUAAUUUAUGUUACGCAACCGAUAGUGACAUUAAAAACGUGUCAUCUAUUCAGAAAAUUUAAGGAUUUAGGUCACGCAUUAUUGUGCGCCCUUAAAUUAUUGUCAUAAGAAAAAAAAUUAAAAACACGGAGGGCGCUGUAUCUUAAAUGCGCGCCCUCUGGAGGUGUCGCUUUAUAAUUUUUAUGAACGCGCGUUCUUUAGUUACAAGCGGGAAAAGAAAAGCCGAAAAAAUUAGAAAAGCCCGCUAACUCUUUGACCUAAGCGUUUUGACGCAUCUUUCAUUCUCCUCACACUGCUGUGCAACCUUUUCCAAGGUAACGAUUUCAUCUCCAUCUCUCGACUUCAUCAUCUCAAUGAAGAAAAAAGGCUUCUGAUUUCCAUUAUCUGCUUCAUCUCUGCUGUGAUUUCACCUGCUUCAUCUCUUCUGUUCUUGAGAAUACUCGCCAACAGUGUUCUUCCACUAUUCCUUGACCUGCUUCUUUCUGUAUUCUUUUAUCCACAAUGUCUUCAAAGACAUUCUCACACACUUUCUAAAAAAAUCAUUUUUUCUCUCUCAAGAACCCUAGCCGUCACUCACACCACCAUAUUUGUAGUGUGUUCUGUUCAGAUAUAUAUGCAUCGAUGAAACAAGGAACCUUGAUAUGGAAGGCCACCCAAGUAUUAACUCUUCAAGAUUCAGGCCCCUGACACCCCAUUUACAUCAGACUACCAACACCACCGCAAACAAUGGAUGUUGGUGGUUUGGUCUCACACCUUCUUUACUGUGGGAUACAGAUCCUAACCAUCUGACCUCCCUCUCUCUCUCUCUCAUGACGAAGAACACAAUUUGAAGGAUUAUCAAUCAAGAAUGAUUGGUUAUGGUUAUGAUUUAAAAGGCAAACUGAAUAUAUCAGUCGAUAUCGAUGGAGGGUUUGCGAAAACCAAGGUAAUAAUUUUGAUUUGCUUUUAGUUGGUGUUUCUCUUACUGGUACCCUUCUUUCACAUUCUCAAAUUAUGUGUUCUUCUGUGUGGAUUUGUUUGAAAUUUGAAAGAAAGUUUUAUGAAGCACUCCAACUGCUCGAUGAAAUGCUUGAACCAGGUUUUUGGAUUCAUUCCAGUCAGUUAUUAGAUCAUGCAUUACUACAUUUAAUCUCAAUUUAGUUGUGGAUUUUGUUGACUUAAUCUAUGUUAUGAGCAUAUUGGAUCAUAUUUAAAUUAUUAUGUUAUUGAAUACAUGCUAAACUUCAAUGUAUGUAUAGCCCAUAUAAAGUUUAAGAGAUAGACGGUUAUAUGCAACUUCAUUGAACAAAGAAGAGUUACAAAUGGUUAUGUCAAAUUGACUAUAGUCAUAGUAAAAGAGAUUUGAUUUUGAUGUGAUUUUUUUAAUAAGGAGCCUCUAAAUAAAUGUGAAAAUUUAAGGACUAGGAAAUAGGACAACCCGGGUUAAAUUAUAUAAAUUGUAACAGAAUCCUCAUAUGAUAUUCUCCUUCCUAUAGACUCGCACCUAUUUUGUCACCUGCCUCAUGGUAUCAUAUCCAGAGAGCUAAAGUAGCAUUUAUAUAUUGGCAGUAAACUCGAAUCGAUAACAUAGAUUUUGAAACCGAAAUUCGUUUACUCAUAACUACAUAUUUUGAAAACCCCUGGAGUAUGAUUGGAAUUGUUCCGUUGUUAAUAUCUACGAGUCUAUCUAAUUUCCCAGGAGAAGGUCGCGAAUCCAUUGUUCGAGAAACGACCAAAGCAAUUUGGAAUCGGUGGAGCUUUGCCUCCUAAGAAGGAUCUUCACAGAUUCGUAAGAUGGCCUCAAGUCGUCCGAAUUCAGAGAAAGAGGAGAAUCCUCAAGCAGCGUUUGAAGGUCCCACCAGCAUUGAACCAGUUUACCAAAACCCUUGACAAGAAUCUCGGUAUAAUGCUCAUCCUUAACAAUAAUUUUGUUCUAAUUCCAACUAUGUUCUUACUCCUUUUACAAUCCACCGAGUUUCAUCAAACUGAUAGACAAAUCUCUGUUUAUGAAAUUAUGAAGCAACGACUUUGUUCAAGAUGCUACUCAAGUACAGGCCGGAAGACAAAGCAGCCAAAAAGGAACGCCUGUUGAAGAGAGCUCAAGCUGAAUCAGAAGGAAAGACUGUUGAAGCUAAGAAACCCAUUGUUGUGAAGUAUGGUCUUAACCAUAUUACCUACCUUAUCGAGCAGGUUUUUCUCAUUUACACUCACUGUAAUCUUCUAUUUCUUUUUCUUCUAAAGUGCUUAAUGACAUAUUAUGUUCCAUUUCAGAACAAGGCACAAUUGGUGAUCAUUGCCCAUGAUGUUGAUCCAAUUGAAUUGGUUGUCUGGCUUCCUGCACUCUGCAGAAAGAUGGAAAUCCCUUACUGCAUUGUAAAGGGGAAAUCUCGUUUAGGAACUGUAAGUUUUUCCCUUAUCAUACUUUUUACUUUUUUUUUUCUUCUCAUUUUCAGUUGUGAGUGACAAUUCUUUUUGUAUUACCUUUAUGGCUAUUUUCUGUUUUUUAGGAAAAGAAUACGGUCUUUUCCAGAGAGCUUCUUGUCACCUCUUGAUUUGGUUGUUGUUCCAGGAGACAAUAAGAUGACGUCGCUCCUCACCACCUCCUGCUGAUGCCACACAUUUUCUCUUUACUACUUGCCAAACUUCAAAGUUUCUUUCAUCAUAUCACAUGAACCAUUAGAAAAUUAAUUUGAAGGCCUGUAGCCAUCUCUCUCUCUCUCUCUCUCUCUCUUCACCCUUUUCUCCCGAUUUUUUUGGGUCCAAUAUUUCUUUGUUCAUCGUCAUUGCUGCUUGUUACCUAUCUAUGGCCACCAUGAAAUAUUGAAUAAACCAAUUUUUAUUUAAUUUGGUUGAAUACAGGUAGUUGUUUCAUUCGAAAUUUGGAUCUUUUUAUCUUCCUUUGUUUAGGUUAUAAUCCAGUUGGGUUGUAUCCAGUAUAUAAGUUUAUGGCUUGUUAUAUGUCAGUAGUUAUAUAUGAUAGUUAUAAUUCUGACCUUACCAUGUUCAAAUACUGGGCUUAUCCCUUUUGUAUUAUGUAUCUUCAAUUCGGUUUAUUCUUUGUAAUAUAGCCUUUCUAGAUUUUGUAAUUUUCUAACUGGAGUAAAUUAUUUUUGUAUUGUUUUAAGCAGAACUUUGUGUUUAAACACUAAUUCCAAUGGGUUAUUGCUGGUUGCUGUUCAGGCAGACAUCAAGCUUCUCCACCAGCCUUGCCAGCAACAGUUACCUUCUGUGUCCCUGAGUACCUGUACAAGAAUGACAACCUUACAUCUUGAUUGACAACCUUACCCUUGAUGCACCCUUUAACUUCUCUGCUAUGGAAGGGCAGUAUCAUAAUUAUGUUUAUGGGCAUGAAUAUUACAUAUUUUUCUUUUCUUAUCUCAGGCCAAAUGACUUUCAUGAUUUUGCAGAGUAUUUUGUACAAAUAAGGUGGAGGUGGAGGUGCUGCAGCAGUAUUUUGCAGAGUAUUUGCUAAUAUUUAUCACCCGCCUCAACCGAUAACCACUGGUGCAGUUGACCCAUUGGCUGGUGGUGGACCGGGUAGUGUGGACAUUGUGGGACCUGCAGCAGUAGCUAGUGUCUAUCAGCAGCAACAACCCCAACCAACUCAAAUCAACUGGCCUAACAACUACUAAAGUAACAAACUUCAACAAUCAAAACCCAAAACCCAAAAAGGUAUGAAUGGAUGGAAUUGGAUUAUUAGGGAUUUGAGUUGAGUGUAUACUUAGAUGAGUACUUAUAUACUUAGAUGAUGCAGGGAAGACACUUUCAAUAGGCUGCAAGUUAGUAUAUUUGACAUCCAUAACCUUGCACUCUUGGCAUGUGGAAGCUCAUGAGUUUCUAUUAAUGUAUAAACAGGGGUGCAAUUUGCAUUUGGUCUGCUUCAUAUAGGUUCUGGAGUUAGAUGGACUCUUGUGGAUUUUCUUCGAGGCCAUGGUGAUGAACAAAUAAGUGCACUCUCAUGGAGUCCUGAUGGAAGAUUCCUAAGUAGCUUUUGUUUUGCUUGCAUGCUGCUUUUCUUAUUCAGUGCUACUUUGAUCUAUUUUGAAAUGUUGAUUUUUAGAGUCUUUUUGCAUGACCAAAUUUAAUAUCCAGUUAUAUUAUAAUGCUUCCCUUAACAUAUCUUCACAUAUGUACCAUCUGCUUCAUAUGAGAGCUCAUCGUUCACAAUGUGGGAUUUUGCUCAAGGUAUAUUCUUAUGCAUGUUGAGUUUUUCAAUAUACCCUAGAAAAGUUAAUCAUAACUAUGCUCUUGUUGUUUUUUUUAAAAGGAAGUUAAAGGCGUAUUUCUAUAAUAAAUAUAUUGUUCUUGCAGUGGGAAUUCUAUUGUUGCUGAGCUACAUGGUGAAGUUGGGUGGCCAGGUAAGCACUUGAUGUUUUAUUCUAGAAAAAGAAAUGUUUAUGCAUACAUACAUACAUACAUACAUACAUACAUACAUACAUAAAUACAUACAAUAAAAAUGUCAAAACAAAGCUAGAGGCUUAUUCUUUAAAUUUACAUAUGCAGAUAAAUCUGUUACUUGAUCAUCAAAGUUUUUUCAAACAUCAAAACCGUGUUGAUUCAAAACACCUUCCAAAUCCCACCUCUUUCAUUUGUAUAUUUGUUUUUUUUGAAGCAUCUUCUAGCUAUGGUGAACCAAAAUACACUCAAGGAGAAAACAUCUAGUGGUAUGCAGGGUGUAAACAACGAAUGGUGCACACUUCUUCACCUUCUUGGCUGUUGUCUUCUUUCACAAGCACAUCUUCAAUCAUCAUGGGGUUCUAUUGAAAAGAAAGUUAAUGAAGCCAUUUCUUGCUUUUUUUAGGUAUGUGUUAUGUGACAUAUCAUCCACUAAUGUAUCAUUUAUCAUUCAGCAUCUUUUACUUUGAUGGGUAUAGAUACAGAAGGGUAAAAUGGUCAUUUACUUGCAUUCAAACAGUUUAUUCAUUUAGUAAAAAAAGGGACAUAUAUAUAGGUGUGUUUCUUAUUGACCUAACAAAUACAAAGGGGUAGAAUGGUCAUUUACUUGCAUUCAGAUAGUUCACUAGGGGGUGAUGCUUUUUGACAUAGUACAUACAAAGGGGUGUUUCUUUUUGAAUUCAUAUGUACAGAAGGGUAAUAGGGUCAUUUACUCACAUUCACAUAGUUCAUCCAGUCAACAAAAUAGACAAAUACGUAGUUGUGUUUUCUUUUUGACUUAAUGCACUUAUUAAUAUGGCUAUUAUUAUUAUUAUUAUUAUUAUUAUUAUUAUUAUUAUUAUUAUUAUUAUUUAUUGCUAUAUGUUAAUGUUAUUUUUUUUAUUAAUAUAUAGGUUAAUUCGUUCGGAAUCUAACACAGCUGGAAGAAGGUCGUGGAUACUUUCAUUUGGACUUGGUUAUACAAAUAGGUUAUAUAGUUAGGGAAAACCUCUUAAUAGCAAUGUACAAUUAGGUCCCCUUAAUACCAAUGUAUUACAAUGUAUUGUAUUUUUGUAUGACAUUAAAUUUUAUGUAAUGGAUUAUAUUUUUUAUAUAUGAUAUAUUAUUUUCUAUUAUUGGACAUUAAAUGCAAAUUUAAUUUGAAAAUUAGUAAAUCCAUAAAUAAUUUUUUUUAACAUUUAAAAUUAUGAUACGCAAAAAUGUGUGUCAUCUUUAUUUAUGACAUGGCCUUUCUUGACAUGGGCUUUCUUGAUACGCAUUGCGUGUCAUAAACACGCGCGUCGUAAGGUUACGACACGCGAAUGCGUGUCGUCUUCCUUUAUGACAGGGCCUUCCUUGAUACGCAUUGCGCGUCGUAAACGCGCGUCGUAAUUGCGCGUCAUAAAUGCGCGUCGUAAAUGCGCGUCGUCUAUAGACGACGCGCAAAAGCGCGUCGUCUCUCUUUAUGACAGGGCCUUCCUUGACACGCAUUUGCGCGUCGUCUGAGCGUUUUACGACGCGCAAUGAGCGUCGUAAAAGGCCUUUUUUCUAGUAGUGAUCACAACUUAUUAAUGGAAGGGCACGUUCAAAAGCUCCAUUAAUUAACUAUACUAAAUAAAUUUCAAUAGUCAAUAUUCCUAAUAACAUCUUUCAUGCUAUUUUCAUAAUCUUAAGAUAUUUUAAAUUUAAAAACAGACAAUUCAAAAAUGAAUUUCAAUCAAAAAAUUUACUCGUUGUCAAUCUCAACAACUGUUUUCUAAAACCACCAUUUGAUCUCCCAUGACGGAAGCUGACCCACAAUACUCUGACGAAAGUUCAGCUUCAAAUGAUGUAGAAAUUAAAGACACAUCCACCAACAAAGAAACAAUCAAAUUUGUUAUGCUCGACAACAUUAAUGUAAUGGAGAUUAUUCUUGCAGAUAAAGAAUGGGCAGGUGUGUUCCCGUUUGAUAGCCCUGUUUAUUUUGAAAGAUUUUGUUAUCCUUAUGUUCGUAGGGGCAUUGGGAAUACAGAAUGAUGGACUCAGAAAGAUAGAGAAAUUAAGAAUAAAUUCAACAGUAAAAGUGCUCCAAAGGGGGACGUUGAAAAGAAGGAAUUCAAAUUGUGGAAGAAGAUAUGGGGGAAUGAACAAAAAGGCAAUGAUCUGGGUGAGGGUUCAAGUAAAUGACUUUUUAAUCUACUAUUACAUAUUUUUAUCUAUAUAGAUAAUGAUUUCUUACUAUAAGAAAUUCAGUGGUGGAUAAAGAAAAUAAUCAAAUACAAUGAUUCGUUCAUAAAUGGAUAAAACUGAACUAUAGUAUAUUUAGAUGUUAGUUGCUUUGAAAAUGAAAUAAUAAUGAAGUCGUUGGAAUAUCUAAUUUUGAAUUCAUGAUAUUUUAUAGACAAACUAAUAGAAUUGUGAGUGGUUCUUUAUUGAUGUAUGAAACUAAAGAUUUAUCUUGGCAAAAAUAAUUUAAUUGGUAUUAGAUUUAGAUUUUAAGGUUGUUUUGUUGUGUGUCUAAACCAUUAAUAAUCGUUUUAACUAUAAAAUUUAGAUCUGUUUUCCAAUUUACUAAUGUAAAAGCAUUACAAAUAUUAAUUUAAAAUAAUGAUUAAAUGUGGUGAAAUAUUUAAUUGAAAUCCAAUGGAUUAAAAUCAAUUAUAACGUUGGGUAUAUAGUUCAAACGACAAUUAAAUUGUGCAAUAGAAAAAAAUAAAACAUUUUUAAUAUAAAAUGCUAAAAAAUAUAUUUUUUUCAAAAGCAUGUAUUAUUAAGUUUUUAAGGAAAAUGAAGUUAUAAUGUUGCCACUAAACAUUUUUAUCUCUAAUCAAUUAAACAUUUUCAUGAUAAAAUUCCGAAUAAUAAAACAUUCCAAUGAUGAAAUUCCAAAGUGACCGUAAAGAAACCGGAAUAUUUGUUAUCUUUUUUUAUUUUUUUUACUUGAAAAUUUUGGUGUAAAAGUGUCAACCUUACCAGUUUGUUGUUAACUUUUUUUUUUUAAAAUCACAAUUUUAUCAUUACAAACCUUUUCUGCAACCAAACUACAAAGAUCAUUUAUGCAUGUCUUCUUCAAAAUCUUAUUCAAUUAUUAUACAUUAAUUCUUUUAAUUUUUUUUUAAUUUCCUUUUAUUAUAUCACUUUUUUUAAUUGUUUUAUUAUAUAUUAAUAAAUAUUAUUUUAAUAUAUAAUAUUUAUAUAUUAAUAAAUAUUACUUUAUUAGAUUAUUAAUUACCUUAUUUUUUUAAUUUAUUUUUUCAAUGGAUUAUUUAUUUUUUAUUCGAUUAUUAUAUAUUAAUAAAUAUGUAAUAUUUGUAUAUAUAAUAUUACUUUAUUGGAUUAUUAAUCUCUUUUAAUUUCUUUUUGAUUAAAUUAAGUUUUUUAUUGGAUUAUAAUUUAUUAAUAAUUAUCGUUUUUAAUAUACAGUAUUUAUAUAUUAAUAAAUAUUAUCUUUUGUAUUACUAUUUUUAAUUGUUUUUAAUUUUUUUAAUUGUUUUCUUUACUAUUUUAAAUAAAAAAAACCCAAAAAGAUUCCCCCCACCCCACAUCUCCUAAUUUAGUUUGAAUAUUUAGAAGAGAUUAUAUUUGGACACCAUCAACACCAUCACCCAGUUCAACAAUGAUGGGAUGAGUGAGAUUGUUUUUAAAUAAAUUAGAAUGGUAGUGGUGUUAUAAAAAAAUGAAUUAAUCCAUAAAAAUUGAAAUUCGAAAAAAAUAACCAAAAUAAAUUAAUAGUCUAGGUAAACCAACUCAUUUUCAUCAUCUCCAUCUUCAAAAUCUUCAUAUUCUUUGUCUUCCUCCCCAUAUCCCUCAUUCCCAUCAUUAGAUAUUUGGUCAUAUGUAUUUAUACUUGAGGCUAGGCACAAUCAUUUCGUACGAGUUACAGUAAGGGGUGACUCAAACUGCUUUUCAACCUGAAAGAUUUUAUAUGUUUCCAUUUCAGCUUCAGUGACUUCAAAUACCCCUCUUGGUUUUGUCUUGAUAACCGUCCACUUAUAUUUCGUCUAUUUUUUCAUUGAAGGGUAUGAUGUAUAAACAUUUGUUCUGCGUGUGAUGCCAAGGAAAAAGGGUCAUCAGUUUGAAGUCGAGAGUUGAAUUUGACAUCAAUCAACUUGUUUUUGUUGACUAUUACACCGUCUUUAUUAUCAAACCAAAUACAAUUAAACAAUACAACAGUCGAGAGUCCGUUGUCAUAAUACCCAAUCUCUAAGAUCUCUUAUAAUAUGUUCAACAUUAUAUGUCUCCCCCAUCACACAUACUCCAAAGAUAUUCAUUACACAACCGUCACCAUAUUGUUUGGAUUAAUUCUUUUUUGUACAACACCACCACCAUCCUAAUAUAUUUAAAAAAAAUCCCACUCAUCCCACUACUGUCGGACUAGGUGAUGAUGGUGAUGUUGUAAAAAAUAUGUUAUCUUCCAAAUAUUUAUAAUAAAUUAGGAGACAUGGGGUGUGUGAGAUUUUUUUGGGUUUUUUGAUUUAUUAAAAUAAAUAAAACAAUUAAAAGAAAUUAAAAACAAUUAAAAUAGCAAUACAAUAAAAUAAAAUUUAUUAAUAUAUAAAUAUUAUAUACUAAAAACAAUAGUUGUUAGUAAAUUAUAAUCCAAUAAAAAACAACUAAUCUAAUAAAAAAAAUAAAAGAAAUUAAUAAUCAAGUAAUAUUUUUUAAUAUAUAAAUAUAAUAUAUUUAAUAAUACAUAACAAUCCAAUAAAAAGAAAUAAUCUAUUAUAAAAGAAACUAUAAAAAUAACUAAAUUUAAUUACAAAAUCCAAUAAAGUAAUAUUUGUUAUAUAAAUAUUAUAUAUUAAAAAUAAUAUUUAUUAAUAUAUAAUAAAACAAUAAAAAAGUAAUCUAAUAAAAAGAAACUAAAACUAAAUAAUUGAAUAAAAUUUAAAAGAAGAGAUGAAUAAAUGGUCUUUGUAGUUUGGUUGCAGAAACGGUUCCUAGAGGUAAAAUUAUCAUUUAAAAAAGUUAAUAGCCAAAAUGUUAAAGUUAACAUUUUACAUCAAAAAUGCACAAUGUAUCUAAAAUUGGAUCACUUUUACACCAUAAAACAUUUUUGGACCAAAAUCACAUAACUUUGACAAUCAUAAGGACCAUUUUUGCUAUUUUAUCAAAAAAUAAUAAAAACCCCUCCAACAUGUAUCCCCCCUCCCGUCUUUUCUCUUUCUGUCAAAUAUCAAGCCGUCAUUUGGUGGUGUUUUUUCCACCAAUCUUGUUUUUUGGGUUAUAAUAUUUUUUCUUUGAAAAAUAAAUCUGAAAAAACCAAAGCUCUUAAAAUUUAAUAAUCUACAAAAUGAGCACAAUCAUGAAAAUUAAUAAAAAAAUGUUUUUUUUAAAAAAAACCCAGAAAUUUUUUUUUUCCAAAAAUCGUAAAAGUUUAAAGGAUACUUCUACUUAAUAUACUAGUGACUUUGUAAAAAGAAUUUUUCAAAAAUAAGUUUUUGAAGUAUUUAUUUUUAAAUUUAAGAAAUAUUAAUUUAAAAAAAUAUUGAACAUAAUAUGAUCCAAAAUGUGAUGAUUCAAAAUAUUUAUGAUUGCAAAAAAAAACUUUUGAUUCAACUUGUUUAUGAUUCUUAAUUUGUUAUUAUCUAAAAAUAUUUAGACUCAAAUAUUUUAUAUUCCUUAAUUAUAUCUUUUAUUAUUCAAUAUAUUAAUGAUCCAAAGUCAUAUGAUUCAAAAAUGAUUGGAUUCAAAAUAUUACGAUUCAAAAUAAAAUGAUUCAAAAUUUUAUAAUCCAAAAAUAAUGUGAUUCAAAAAGGUAUGAAAGGAAAAUAUUAUUAACCUUAAUAUUCUUCUUAUUUAAAAUUUUAUAAUUGUUAAACAUUAAAAAUUGAAACCGAUAUUUAGUUCAAAAAAUCAAAAAAAAAAACAAAACCAAAAAUAAAAAGAAACACUAGUAUCUUCAAGUAUGUAGUAAAUAUAUCAAAAAAACUAAANCGAUAUUUAGCAAAAAAUCAAAAAAAAAAACAAAACCAAAAAUAAAAAGAAACACUAGUAUCUUCAAGUAUGUAGUAAAUAUAUCAAAAAAACUAUANNNNNNNNNNNNNNNNNNNNNNNNNNNNNNNNNNNNNNNNNNNNNNNNNNNNNNNNNNNNNNNNNNNNNNNNNNNNNNNNNNNNNNNNNNNNNNNNNNNNNNNNNNNNNNNNNNNNNNNNNNNNNNNNNNNNNNNNNNNNNNNNNNNNNNNNNNNNNNNNNNNNNNNNNNNNNNNNNNNNNNNNNNNNNNNNNNNNNNNNNNNNNNNNNNNNNNNNNNNNNNNNNNNNNNNNNNNNNNNNNNNNNNNNNNNNNNNNNNNNNNNNNNNNNNNNNNNNNNNNNNNNNNNNNNNNNNNNNNNNNNNNNNNNNNNNNNNNNNNNNNNNNNNNNNNNNNNNNNNNNNNNNNNNNNNNNNNNNNNNNNNNNNNNNNNNNNNNNNNNNNNNNNNNNNNNNNNNNNNNNNNNNNNNNNNNNNNNNNNNNNNNNNNNNNNNNNNNNNNNNNNNNNNNNNNNNNNNNNNNNNNNNNNNNNNNNNNNNNNNNNNNNNNNNNNNNNNNNNNNNNNNNNNNNNNNNNNNNNNNNNNNNNNNNNNNNNNNNNNNNNNNNNNNNNNNNNNNNNNNNNNNNNNNNNNNNNNNNNNNNNNNNNNNNNNNNNNNNNNNNNNNNNNNNNNNNNNNNNNNNNNNNNNNNNNNNNNNNNNNNNNNNNNNNNNNNNNNNNNNNNNNNNNNNNNNNNNNNNNNNNNNNNNNNNNNNNNNNNNNNNNNNNNNNNNNNNNNNNNNNNNNNNNNNNNNNNNNNNNNNNNNNNNNNNNNNNNNNNNNNNNNNNNNNNNNNNNNNNNNNNNNAUAUCAAUGGUUGAACCUAAAUCCAUCAAAUAAGCCUUAGAACAUUCUGAUUGGAUUACAUCCAUGAAAAAAGAGCUAGCAGAAUUUGACAGAAAUCAAGUGUGAACUCUUGUCCCUUCUCCUUAGGAUCACCCUAUUGUUGGUACAAGAUGGGUCUUCUGAAACAAAUUGGACGACGUUGGAGUAUUAAUCCGAAACAAAGCGAGAUUGGUAACCAACGGAUUUACUCAGAUUGAAGGAAUUGACUAUGAUGAUACCUUUGCUCCCGUUUCUUGUCUUGAAGCUAUCUGAAUCUUUCUUGCUUAUGUUGCUCACAAAGGCUUUAAAGUUUACCAAAUUGACAGCAAUGGUGCUUUUCUAAAUGGUGAACUUGAUAGUGAAGUAUAUCUUGAACAUUCUCCUAGGAAACGUGUCCCCCUUGUAAAUACCAUUUAACUCAUUUCAUAUUUCAUUUUGAACUCUCUUAUUUCGGAACUCUCUCAUUUCGGAUUGCCAACAUUCUGGACACCACUAAAACUGAAAAUGUCUUCUGAUAGCAGUAAUGAGAUGCAUUUUUUUAUGUGUAAGUUUCCAUUAUGUUCAUAAUUAUAUGCCUUUAUUUUAGAUUAUAUGUUAAAACCUUUAUAAUUUAUGCAUUUAUAUAGGUAUUAUUUGUUAACGUUACCAUAUGCGACCACGUUAAAUAUGACGGAAAGCACUGACGGGACGUUAUAUCGCCAAGGCCUUGGUCAGGUCUCAGUCUUAUCCCGGACAAGCCAGCGUCAGUUCCUUGGUCGGAUCCUCUCAUUCUCUCAUGACCAAUUAGGUCAUGACAAAGAGCCUGAUGACGCCUAGAAUUGACGUCACUUGGCUGUUAGACGGCGUGAGCGUACUUCUCCUAGUAGGAAAGUGCCACGUCUCACUCCCACGUAGGGAGAGUUACCUAAUUCCGUUAGCAACAGGUAUAAAAGGAUCCUUUCCUUCCCAAGGAAGGUGACUAUCUUCUUCCCUAUACAAUUUUGCCUAAAUUUUUCUCUGAAAGAAAGUUAACUUGAUCGUCGGAGUGACGUCCUGGGAGAACCCCCGAUCGUCCUUUAACAAUUCUUCUGUGUUGUGUUCUCAGGUAAACCUCCAACACCAACUUGUCAACAAAUGACCAAUUCCCUGAAGAACCUAUCACAACAUUUGGCGCCAUCUGGACGUAUCCUCAGAGUGAUACAACCAAUAGACGAUGUUGGUUCUCUACAAAAGGGGGAUGUAAACUCAACAGCAACCGAGAUGGUAAAAGAAGAUCUGUUCAGAACACCGGUGAGUAAACAAGGAACAUCACCGCGAGUGUAGAACACAGGCCCCAACCCAGGUGCUAAUAGCACGACUCCUGCCAAUUACGAUAGAAAUAGCAGAGCUAGUACUCAAGAGCAGUUUUCGCAACUAUAUAUUAGCUGCCUCAAAUGGCGAUAACACAUCUCGAUUUGUUGCAAGAACCUCCGUAUGAUGGCAACGAGGUACUCACUAUCUCUAAAUCCAGUAAGAGAAAUACAACUCACCUAACGGAGGAUGAGAUAUAGGUACUCUCGAGAAAUCUACUCAAUAUCACUUUUUGAGUAGCAAUCCCAGGCUAUCGAACUGGGAUCCACGAGAUCCACUCUUCAUAUCUGGAUUCAUUUGCCAUAUGAAAAUCCAUCGGAUAUACAUCGACAAUGGUAGUAGCUCCGACAUACUCUACGAGCAUUGUUUCAGGCAACUACCGGAAGCAUGGAAGGAGGGGCUAAGGCCCCCAACUGAAGGACCAUUGGUGGGGUUCACCAGUCACAGCUUGUGGCCAUUGGGCACUAUCCGACUAUCUUUCACGUUGGUCAGUCAUGACAAAAGGGACAAAAUCACAAGAACAAUCGAGUUUUCUAUGAUUCGGUUUCCAGCAUAACAUAACAUUCUGCUCGGAUGAUCAGCAAUAUCCUUACUACAGCUCGUGCCAUCGAUGAUACAUGGCAUAGUUAAAUUUAGCACACGCCAAGGAUCAACAACAAUUAUUGCCACAAACACCAGGGCGCAGCACUGCAAUCAGAUCAUAGCUGCUCCUGAGUUGGUACGAGCUCCAAAAAAUUCGAAGGAGGAUUGUUCCACUUAACAACACCAGGUAAACACAGAAUACCCAGAACAACUUGUGCAAAUUGGUGCUCACCUAUCCGACGAGAUCAAGGCACGACUAGUAGCGCUUCUGAAGCAACGUGUGUUGAAUCAGCAGCAGACAGUAAGCGUCUUCUUUAUGGGCACUUUAUUCUGUCUCCGAUUAUGAAAGGUCAAGCAGACACAAUAGGCAUUGCUAUGUGAAGAGCUUUGCUUGGAGAAAUCGAAGGGACAUGUAUCACACGCGCAAAAUCUGAGAAAAUAUCACACAAAUAUUCUACCAUAAUGGGUAUUCAAGAAUCAGUACAUGAAAUUUUAGUGAAUUUAAAAGAAAUCGUAUUGAGAAGUAAUCUCUAUGGAACUUGUGAGGCGUCUAUUUGUGUCAGGGGCCCCGGAUAUGUAACUGCUCAAGAUAUCAUCUUACCGCCUUAUGUAGAAAUCCUCGAUAAUACACAGCAUAUAGCUAGCUUGACGGAACCCAUUGAGUUGGUUAUUGGAUUACAGAUAGAGAAGAAUCGCGGAUAUCUUAUAAAAGCGCCAAAUACCUUUCAAGAUGGAAGUUAUCCUAUAGAUCCUGUAUUCAUGCCUGUUCGAAAUGCGAAUCAUAGUAUUCAUUCUUAUGAAAAUGGUAACAAAGAGAUACUAUNAGCAAUAUUGUCAUAGAAAAGAAGAGGGGCCAGGCGGAAGACCGGAACAAGGCUAUAAAUGCAGAAGUAGCCAACCUAGUGAGUGACGACAUACUUAAGGAAGCAAUGUUCCCGACAUCGAUAGCAAAUCCCAUUAUGGUAAAGAAAGCCAAUGAGUCAUGGCGAAUGUGUAUUGACUACUCAGACCUUAAUAAUGCUUGUCCAAAGGAUCAUACCCCCUUCCGGAGAUAGAUCAGAAAGUCCAAUCGCUCGAAGGGUCUGGAUUCAAAUGUUUCCUUGACGCGUACAAAGGUUAUCAUCGAGUAUAGAUGAAACGAGAGGAUGAGGCAAAAACAACUUUUCACACCGAGAAGGGCACUUUCUGCUACCAGAAAAUGUCAUUUGGACUCAAAAACACGGGUGCUACAUAUCAGAGACUAAUGAACAAGAUAUUCGCUGAUCAAAUUGGUAGGAACAUCGAGGUCUACAUUGAUGACAUGGUAAUAAAGAGCCGUAACGAAGAAACAUUACUCCAUGAUGUGGAAGAGACUCUUAAAAUGCUAGCUAAAGUGCAGACGAGGUUAAAGCCAGCCAAGUGUACUUUCAGCGUAGAAGAAGAUCAAUUCCUUGGGUAUCAGAUAUCCAAGGAAGGAAUUCUGUCCACUCCCAUCAAAGUCCAAGAGUUCCUCAAGUCGAAAACUCCCCACAACCUCAAAGGUGUACAAGAGAUCAAUGGCCGGCUAACAACAUUAGGAAGAUUUAUUGCCAAAACAGCAGAAAAGGCGCUUCCCCUGUACCAAACCCUCAAAGGGUGCUUAGAUAAAAAGCAAUUCAAAUGGACAGGAAAGAGCACACGAAGCAUUACGACAACUGAAAGAUGCCUUACACCAGCUACCGACCCUCGCUUGCCCGCUACUAGGAGAAACGAUACAAAUGUACCUAGCAGCAUCAGAAGAAGCUAUCUCCUCCGUGUUGGCAGUAGAAAGGGAAGGCUAACAGAUCCCCAUCCACUUUGUAAGUAGGGCCUUGCAAGGGAAAGAGGUUAAUUACCCAGUCUUAAAGAAACUGGUCCUCGCCCUAGUAUACACUACCAGACGGCUACGACGGUAUUUCCAAGCUCACAAGGUGGAUGUCCUAACCAACUACCCGAUAAAGCAAGUUCUGUUAAUGCCGGAAAAGUCUGGAUGCCUGGCUAAGUGGGCCAUAAAAUUAGGCGAACAUGAUAUCAAUUACCACUCCUAACUAGCAUCGACGCCCAGGUUCUCGCAGAUUUCCUAGUCGAAAUACCAGAUACUAUCAAGGGAACACCAACGACAAUACUCUUCGAACCGUUGGAUCCUGAAGCCAGCAGAGAGCUUUGGAAAUUAUACACCGACGACAUAGCAAGUAUGGAAGGCUCAAGCGUAGGCUUGAUCCUUCAAAGCCCCAAAGGCGAAGAAAUCACUUACGCACUACGAUUCGAUUUCCAAGUAUCUAACAAUGAAGCAGAAUAUGAGGCACUCCUAGCAUGCCUGGGGUUAGCAAGGGAGGUUGGUGCAAAGCGAUUAGCAGCUCUCAGUGAUUCGUUACUUAUGAAGCCAAAGAUCCAAGGAUGCAGAAGUACCUAGAUGCAGUCUGCAUCUUAACAAGCAAGUUUCAAAACUUUUCAAUACAACAAAUACUCAUGGAAAAAAUACGAUGGCGGACGCUCUCAUCAAGUUAGCCUCAACUUCCUUUGAUCACCUAAUAAAGAAAGUGUUAGUCGAAGUGCUCCCAUUGAGAAGCAUUGAUAACCAAAAGGUUAAUAUAGUCUCGACUACCCUAGAAUGGACCAAACCAUACGUCGAUUACUUGCGCCACGAUGUACUCCCAGACGACUCGGCAGAAGCGAGAAAGGUCAAGGUCAGGGCAUCACAUUUCACAAUUAGAGACAACCAACUGUACCGAAGAGGGUAUUUAAUCCCAUGGAUAAAGUGAAUCUCUAAGACAGAAGGACAGGUGCUCCUAGAGGAAAGUCAUUCCAGAGACACAACAGCGCACGAAGGAGCUCGAGCACAUACGGCAAAAUAAUCCGCCUAGGAGUAUAUUGGCCAGACAUAUACAACGAGGCAGCAGCCCUAACCAAGAAAUGUAAAGAAUGUCAGGCAUUCACUCAUUUCCAGAAUCAACCGGCCAUGCCGUUGACCAGCAUCACCAGCAUCACAAGCCCCUGGCCCUUCCAUCAAUGGGGGAUUGACAUAGUGGGACCAUUCCCACCAGCGCAAGGGGGUGUGGAAUUCUUGGUAGUGGCUGUGGAUUAUUUUACAAAGUGGAUAGAGGCAGAACCAUUGGCCACCGUAUCGGGAAAGAAAAUGAUAAAGUUCAUGACCAAAAAUAUCUUAGCUCGCUUUGGCACACCCAAAGUUCUCAUAAGUGACAAUGACACACAAUUUGAAGGGAUCCCCCUCAAGGAGUGGUGUGAAAACAAGAAGAUCCACCGUUGGUUCACGUCUGUGGCGCACCCUCAGGCCAAUGGAAAAACCAAUAUAUCAAAUAGAACCAUAGUUAAUGGUUUAAAUAAAAGGUUACUCAGAUCAAAGUUUGCCUGGGUAGACGAGCUACCGACAGUGCAGUGGUCAUAUCAUACCACUACAAGGUCGAGCACGGGACAAACGCCAUUCAGCCUUACUUAUGGGAUGGAAGCAGUGCUCCCAUUUGAAAUAGUAGCUGGCUCAUUGCGAACAAACAAUUUCGAGGAAACAGCCAAUGAAUUAGGGCGACGCCAGGACUUAGACAUGCUACAUGAAAAAUGCGAGGCUGCAUAGAUGUGCCAAGCAUUGUACAAAUCGCGUACCGAGAACUAUUACAACUGCCAAGUCCGUGUCAAGAACUUCAAAAUUGGAGAAUGGGUGUUAAGGAAAAACGAGUCCAGCCACACCAAUCCAUUAGGAAAACUCAGCGUCACUUGGGAGGGACUGUACAAAAUUGCAGAAGCCUAUAAGAAUGGCGCUUACGUACUAGAAGCCCAAGACGGGCGUGCAAUACCAAUAACUUGGAAUGCGCAGAGCAUACGCCAUUUCUAGUCUUAAACGAGUGUCAAAGAUAAAUUAAAGGUCAGAAAAAGCAAUGAUUAUUGAUCUUGGAAUGUAAAAUUAAUCAGUAAGAAUUAGUUUACUAUUUCCAGUUUUGUGACACUCUAAAAAUAGAUAAAUUAGAAAGAAAAAAAUAGAAAGAGCAAUUCAGAUGCUCCUUAUUUUCAAGCUUGGAAAAUAAAAUAAAGAGGCUGUGUACAUUUACCAUGUGGCAACAAGGAUUAAUCAUCCAACGUCACAUGAGCGAAAUCGUUACAAGAAGGCAGCAGGGGGGUUAAAAAGGUUCAUAACCUUUCCCCCAAAACAUGUUCACCACACAUAUUAUAGCAAACUUUCCCAAAAACAAAUGUACAAAAAGAACAUGUAACAUAAGUGUAGAAUAGUCAAAACCUUCCACUGAUAAGAAAACCACAACCAGAUGAGCCUCAAUAUGAUGAUCUCGACUACACCUAGGGUCUUUAAGCAGGAAAUUAGAACAGUUUCCUCAAAGACAAGCAUGAGCAAAUCUCAAAGUGUUCACAAGUAAAAGGAUUCAGACCAUAUAUUUAAGAAAGCCAUGCACAAAUACUACGUGAUGGCCAACAUAAUUCAUUUACGAAACAAUAAAAAAAUAUGAUAACAGAAAAUAUUCAUAUUCAUAAAAUAAAAAUAAACAUUGUCAGUUGCUGGACUCUUGGACUUUUAAACUGCCACGAAGGGCAAAAAAGACAAAAAAAAACAUUGUUCACAAAAGCUGCAUAAACCAAAUUAAGAAAAUGUCACUACUUAUGAGCAAGGGCAGUACCAUCACCAGGUGGAGAACUUGGGCCAAGUACCAACUCAUCACUUUGAGCAUCCUGGCAGAGAACAUAGAACCCAGCCAAAUCGAUGUCGCCAAGACGAAGAUAGCCAUCAAAAAAGGUACUCUGAUUUUUAUAAAACAUAAACAAAAUCGGUCUUUUCUUGUCGUGAAAAUGGGGAUGUCACACUUGGUAUCAGAGCAUUAGUUUAAGCGAACUAUGAAUAUGGAUUUAUUACUAGACUCAAACUUAGAAAUCUAAGCGAUGAUCAUGAGAAGAGUGUCUAAUAUAUUUUAGGUAGUACACCUGAAUAGACACAAGCACUAGCUUAAUUAAGGAAAAUGCCUAACAUGCUUUUAUGUGCUAAAUGAUUUAUGAUAUGCAUUAUAUGAUCGAAUCUAUGGUCUGUUGCCGAACGGAUCUGGAAACUUUAUGUGCUCAGAUUUCUAAACAUUUGAUUACGGUAUUAAAACUGACAUGUAAAUUUUCGGAGUGAUAGGGAUAAUUACACGUCAAUCGUAAAUUAAUUCUUUUCUAUCUAAAUUUUCGUGACUCCACACUGAACGUCUGAUUUGGUGCAUAGAUCAACAUGGUGAGCACUAGAAGCGGAUUUGGAAGCGUUAACCCGCAACCCGAGCCACCAGUGAUUGAGCGUGUGCCAGAGGUAGCAACUGCACCCGAGACGAUCACGAUGGCAGGAGUACAUGCAAUGGUGCAGAUGAUGUUGGAUCGUCAGAUGGAAGAGACAAGACGAUUACUUCAACAAAAUAAGGACGAGCUUAUUGUGCUAGUACGCCAAAUUUUGAGGUAGCCAUCUGGGUUGGAAUUGUCAAGAAGAGGAAAUUUGAGGGAUCUUUAAGGUCCAACAGGAACAACGUGUUCUCACAGUUUGGAGGAGGAAGAGGUGAAGCAAAAUGGUGUAAUAAGUAUGGAAGGAAACACAACAGGAGAUGCCCUAAGGAAGUAACCUGCUUCAAAUGCGGGAAUACUGGUCACUAUGCCAACAAAUUCUCAACCAAGGACGAAGUUUGCCAUAAUUGUAGUGGAGAGGGACACUUCAAGCAAGAUUGUCCGAUGAGAGCUACGACGCCAAUUGUACCGCUGAAGCACUAUGUGAGAUACGAUGAGGAGGUGACUUUCUACAAAUGUGGAAAGAAAGGGCAUUACGCCAACAAGUGCACAUCCAAAAAGAGGGUGUGCUACGGAUGUAACAAAGAAGGGCAUUUAUCGAGGGACUGCCCGAAGAAAAAUGAAGCAGCAAGAGCGGAUGCACCUCUGAAGCCAAGAAGCAUCCUUAACAAAGCAUCUAACAAUACAAGGAAUCAGGAGUGAGGACAGAUAUCCGAGGAGCAAGUCACGAAGUAGUCAUGUAGAUAGUACUAUGUGGUGUACCCUAUUAGAAGCAUAGUAUAGCGUAAAGUUGAACGCCUAUGUAAUCGUUUCACGGAAUAAUAUUAAAACCUUCGUUUUGCUAUCUGAUGUGUUAAGUUGUUGUGUGAUUUACUAUGGUGACUUGGAAAACUGCGAGAAAAUACUUGGGACGAGUAUGAGUAGGUGUGAAUGGUAGUAGAGGCCUAUAUUACCGAAAGCACAAGACUCACACUUGGAUCAGGGAAAGUCACAAGGUUACCAAGAAGCUAGUAAUUGAUACCAUUUUAUUCAAGUAUGUUGUUACCAUUGUUUUAGUAUGACUAAGAAUAUGAUUGUCAAUCUGAACCUAAUCGUCAUAUCAAAUCGAGUCCGACUAAGAUGAGUAUGUUACAAGGAUUAGAGAACCAAGAUUGAUGAAGCAUUUGAUUUAAGCCAGAAGAUUGGAAUGAAAAAUAAACGAAGCGAUCAGUAGAAGUAUCGCGAUCACUGUUAAAGUAAGAAACUUGUAGCUAGAAGUGCUACAUACUAAAAGGUGAUUAUAUCACAUUAGGACAAGAAUGAAGUUAUCUUUAAGACUAGAAUUUGACUAUAAAAGACCUGAGUCUAAGCAUUGAACAUACGAUGAUAGAUCAUUACAAUCUGACACAUCGGUCCAUGGUAGUGAUCUUAAGAUUGUUAAGAAGAGAAGUCUCCAGUAUGGAUCGAGAUUGUGACUCAAAGGUUGUAAUUUGGAGUCCAACGUGAGAUAGGGAGCAGGUGCAAGAUCGAGCACUGCCUGCAUUUAUGGAGUCCAAGAGUUAGAUACUCGUUUGAAGCAACAUCAAAAUUAUGGUUAUUACUUAGGAUAAAUAGAUAACGAAUGGAGUCAUUAUGCGAGCCCUGUUUCGUUGAUGAUUCCGGAACGUAAUCAUCCUAAGGGGGAGAUAAUUGUAAUGCCCGUAGAUCCAGGCUAGUCAAUUUAUAGAUAAUAGAGGUCGAAAACGACUUUUCGACAAAAGAUUUUUUAGAAUAAAUAAUCUUAACCGAGUUGUAUAAUAUGUCUCAAGGGUUCUCUACGUAUAAAGAACGCUGAAAUCCGAGUUAUAACGAAGAAGUUAUGGCCCGUCGAAGUUUUUCGGCAACAACCGGCACGACACCAGGAGACGUAAAUAGUGAAUUUAUGAUAGAGGACUUUUUAUCCUUAGUGAUAUAAACAAAAUUUGUAGUAUACAUUAAACCGAGAACAUACAAAAAAAGAACACCCAAAUCUGACUUCGUAUGAGUAAGUUAUGAAUUUACUAAGAUUUGGCAUAGCAGUGCACGGCCUGAAACUCGAAUUUUAGUUCGAACAAUUUUUGGCUUAUGCAACCUAAAUGAGAAUUGAAGAUCUCAUUAAUAGUAACUCAACGGUAAAAAGACAGACAAAAACGGAGUCCGUAUGUAGAAGUUAUGAGUUUUACGCAGACAUUUAACAAUAUAAUCUCCUCUUACUAUUAAAUUUAAGAUCGGUGGAAAACUAGCCGACGGAGUCUGAAUGAAAGUUGUGGACAUUGUUUUUACCUACGCAUGGAUAUAAAUAACGUCAAAAACAUAGCUUGUAUGCGAAAGUUACGGGGUUUAGACGUCGACAGGGUGCUGUGCGAAAUCGGGUGACGUGGGUGAAUAUGGGCCAAGGCUUUCUCCCCAAGACAAGCCACCAGGUGGUGACACCUGGCCAUGGACUUGAAGAGUAGGACCUCCUACUCGACGAGUAGAGCAAGAUUCCAUCCUAUAAAUAGAGGUGUCGGGUUCCCUCAUUCUUCACACCUUCCCAUCUUCUCCUUCUCUCUCUAAAACUUCUCUAUAUCCCCCCUUAAGCCACCCUAAAGUCUAGGUAAACCCCCUAGCACCCGAAGGAAGCCCCGAGGCUCCCGGAGUCCCAAGAAAAGAGCCUUUCGACUAGGGAACGCUGCUCCAGCGAAGCCCAUUUUUCGAGAAAACCCGCUAUAAGUGAGCUAUGCCUACCCUAUCUUUAGUAUAGCUUAUGUUUUAAUAUAGUAACAUUAUUAGGGCCUUAAAAUAAUUAUUUGGGCUAUUAUUAUGAGUUAUAUAAGAGUGUUUCUUAAUGCUUAUAUAAUAGUAAUAAAAGCUAGACUAUUAAUUAGUCGCGUUUAAUGUUAGACUAAACCCUAGUGGUAUUGAUACUAGGUUUUGUCAUGGGAAAAUUGUUUUGAGAUAACGAAGUGCUGUCCGAGUACCGAGUCACCACCUUACCAAGUGAGUUCAUAGUUACUUUCAUAGUACACAUAGAUAUUAAGAAUUUAAUAUAAAUUAUGUGCUAUGUGUGAAUAUUAUCUAUAUACUUGCUAUCUAUGAUGGAUGAACAAUUUUAUACAUGUUUUAAAUGAUUUAAACUUUAUAUAUAUUUUAUAUCUACAUAAUAUGUUGGGUAAAACAUGGGUAGAUGAAAUAUGAGUUGGAUGAUGAGUUGAGAGGUGAUAUAGACCAUGAGGUAAGGGUGAGAGGUGGACGAUGUGAGAAGCCUUGUUUCCAAACGUCGGCCCCGUCAUCUAGCAGAGUAUGGAUGACAACCACGAACGAUUCUAGACACUCCAAUGGAACACUAGCAGGCUCGCAACCUGUAGGUGUUGUGAACGAUGUGUUCACCGUUGUACUCUAAAAACCCAUUGACAUGUGUUGCGAGUGGACUCUCGAAAAUGAUACUGUCAAUAAACGAGAUAAACCUUGGUGACUAUGGAGUUAGCGCCUAAUGAAUAAACCCGACAAGUAUGGGGUUAGCGCCUGUUGAGCAAACCUUGGUAACUAUGGAUUUAGUGCCCGGUGAGAAAACCCAGGCAACGAUGGAUUUUGUGUCGGUUCCUUAGGAUAAUUGUAACAACGUAGUUUUCAAAACAAAAUUUUCAUUUUUCAUCAACCAAGUUCAUAUAAAAAUAUUCUCAAAUAUUUCCAACAGUAGUUUUUGAAACAUAACAUAUCCCAAGAUCAUAAAAAUGAAACUUUCUCUCUAGUGUGUACGAGUCACGUCGGCGCCUUUCCACGGUCCUCGCUAGUACCUGAAACACAUAAGACAAUAACUGUAAGCAUAAAUGCUUAGUGAGUUCCCAAAAAUACUAUAUACAACACAUACGCCACUCAAGGCUAUAAUACGACCCUCAGGUCAAUGUGUCUCAGCGGGACCCUCCAGUCUCAUAGCUCGUUAGACCCUCUGGUCCGGUCAUAGCUCGUUGGGCCCUCCAACCUGGUCUGUAUCGUUGGACCCUUCGGUCCAGUCUUUAACAUCAUACAACAUACAUAUAACACAUACCACAUAAUCUCAUACAUAACACACAAGACACUCUGGUCAACGUAUAACACCACUCUAGGUGCGUAUAGUGAGAAGACUCACCUCAGGUGUCUCGGUAAGUCUCUGACUCGGUAGAAAUAUGAUCUAGCCUCCGCCUAAUCACAUAAAGUAAAUACUCUCAUAAAUAUAACUAUACUCAAACCUUUCUUAACACCCUUAGAAGGGUAAAAGACCAUUUUACCCCUCUCUUGGCUUAAAGGCCUCAUUGUUGACCAAACCCUAAAAGUCAACAAAAGUCAAUGGUCAAACUUUGACUCGACUUGUCAAGUGCACUUGGGCGACUCGGCGAGUCUACAUGUGUCCGCUAAUUCUUUAGUCCCGCUUGGCAUGUCGAGUUCCUCCCCUUGCUCGACGAGUCACCCCUAGCAUGAAUUGCGGGGCCACCCCGACUCAACUCGCCGAGUCUCAAGAACAACUCGGUGAGUUCCGCCUUAAACUCUAGUCCUCUAAUCCCCCUCUGACUCACUGAGUUAUUUCCCCAACUCCGCAAGUCUACACACUGAGUGGUUUACGGGAAACCCUAACCCUACUCGCCGAGUCUGAUCUUUGGACUCGGCGAGUUCAUGCCAUGCACAAACUCCAUAGACCUCCUGAGGUUAGAUGUGUUCCUUUAAUCCAUAGAUCUGACCUUCCCAAGCAUGAUAAUCACGUAAAGUUCAGACCUUGACAUUCAAAUAGCAUCUAGAUGGUCUUACAUGGUGUUUUAGUCCCAAAAUAACAUCCUAAGUUCAUGACUCCCAAAAUAACUGCAAAAAGCCCCAAGGGUUAAGGUCUCUGGACCUCUUUGAGUCCAGAUCCAAAGCAUGAACUUGAGAAAGGACCAAUUGCUCCACAAUUCCAUCCUCUAAAGGGGUUAGAAAACCCAAACUCUAGGAAUUAACACCAAAUAUGAAGAAGGUCCGAAAAAUACCUCAAGAUGAAGUCUAUGAGCUCUGAAAUCACCAGAAUCACACCUCCUUCAGCCUCCUCUUGCCUUGGUUUCCUCCUUCUUGCAAUUACACCAACAAAAUGAUCACAAAUGGCCUUUCCUUCAUCACAAACGCUCUAGAUCUCUUAGGGUUUCUCUCUGGGGUUUGGUAGCUGCAAAUGACGGCCCUAAGGGCCUUUAAAUAGGUCCAAAACCCAGGAAAUUAGGGUUUCAUUAAACAGCAUGGACUCGUCGAGUCCACUCAUGAACUCGCCGAGUCCAGCUGUGAACUCAGAUAAGAAUCCGUGACCAUACUCGGCGAGUUUAAACACCAACUCGCCGAGUCCCCUCUCAACUUCCAAAAAAAUAUAGGAAUAAAAUAUUAUACCUGGGAAUCCAGAUGUUACAAUAAUCCUUAGGAAUAAAUGAACGAUGAAUAGCUGAUUCUUAGGGUAGAUCCUUAAGAGUAAAGAAGAUAAUGGGGAUGGGUAAUUGGGUUGAUUGUUUGAUGUUUAAACAUAAUAAUUAUAUUAUUGUGGGUUGAAAACCCUAUGUACUCACCAGGUUUCCCAACCUGACCCACUCAGUUUAUAUGUAUCACAGGUGUCGAUAUGAAGCUACUUUACACUAAGGGAUUUAAAAGAGAUGUAGAUCACUAGUGUAAAUGAAUGUAAGUUUUGUUUAUGCUUAUGUUUCUAUAAUGACAAUUACAUUCCAAAUCUUUUAAAAUGGUUAAAAAUACAUUUCUUCGGAAAUGAUUUGAUAACGUAUUUAUCAUGUUUUGCUUGGAACAAAUUCCACAACAUUUUUAUUAAAAGAGGUACUCUGAUUUUAUAAAGCAUAAACAAAAUCGGUCUUUUCUGACCGUGAAAAUGGGGAUGUCUUUGUAUGCCUGUUGUACAUGUUGUUGAUAUGCUUUGAUUUGUUAAUCUAUGAACUGCAUGCUAGUUAGGGCUAAGGAUCGACUCAGUUUUUGCAUGAUGGAAUGCUAGGAGAGAUGCCUUUGUAUGCCUGUUGUACAAGCACGUAGACUUGCAUACUAGUACUGAUCAGUCUAUGAUAGGGUGGCCUGAUUAGGUUCUGCUUGGUUCUGAUACUUAAUGCUCGAAUGCUUCUUGCUUUGUGCUUUUAGGAGUUCUAACUAGAUUCAACUAAAUAGUAAACGAAUAUGCUAAGUUACAUAUUAUGGGAACUAAAUAAUUUUCGAAGAUUAGGUUUUAACUAUAUUGCGCAGCUCUUGUUUGAGUCCAACCGUUGUAGUGUGAGACCUCUCAUUCGAAGAAGUAUCUAGUUUUAGUGAUAUGUAAUGGUAUUCACGAGCUAUUUAGAGGAAGUUAGUAGGAGUUCCUUCUGCAGCUGAUGGCGGAGAGUGGCAUUGAGUUUUUCGUAGAAGGUUAACUUUUAAAUCUAUUGUGCAACUCUUGUAUGAGUCUAACCGUUGUCGUGUGAGACCUCUCAUUCAAAGAAUUAUCUAUUCUU
rnacentral:lncRNA from 1 species